UAGCUAACUGAAUCACAUUUUUUGUUACUGCAGUGAAAUGUGAAUAUAUAAGGGAAAAAAAUGAUGUUACCUUAAUAUUUAGUGUUGUCCAAAACUGGUGCCAGAAGACUCGGUAAUGCCAGAGACGCGAACGUUAGUCACAUUAACCAGGCGUAAAGGGUUUGUAGGCAGCUUAAAAAUUUUAUUUUUAUAAUAGCUAUUUCAAUUAAAUUUGAAUUUAAAAAUAAAAUGAAUAUAAGAUAGAAUCAUAUUGAGGAUAAGCCGAAUAAUGCUUAGUGGAGGGAUGAAAUCCUUAGAUACUAGGUGGAAUACUAAUGGUGAAAGCUUUUUAUCUAAUAUUGAUCGACGCUGAGAAACGAAGGUGAGGAUAGGAAAUAGGAUUAGAGACCCAGAUACCCCUCACUGUCAACGAUGAAUGGUGGAUUGUUAGUUUUAAUAACUAGCACCGAUGUUAACGCGAUAACCAUUCCGCCUUGAGAGUACGGUUGCAAAACUGAAACCAAAAAAAUUAGUCGGUCUCGAAGCAAACGAAGUGAAGCAUGUUAUUUA
rnacentral:rRNA from 1 species